rnacentral:rRNA from 1 species
CCUACGGGGGGCAGCAGUGGGGAAUAUUGCGCAAUGGGCGAAAGCCUGACGCAGCGACGCCGCGUGGGGGAUGACGGCCUUCGGGUUGUAAACCUCUUUCAGCAGGGACGAAGCGGAAGUGACGGUACCUGCAGAAGAAGCACCGGCCAACUACGUGCCAGCAGCCGCGGUAAUACGUAGGGUGCAAGCGUUGUCCGGAAUUAUUGGGCGUAAAGAGCUCGUAGGCGGUCUGUCGCGUCGGCUGUGAAAACCCGAGGCUCAACCUCGGGCCUGCAGUCGAUACGGGCAAACUGGAGUGUUGCAGGGGAGACUGGAAUUCCUGGUGUAGCGGUGAAAUGCGCAGAUAUCAGGAGGAACACCGGUGGCGAAGGCGGGUCUCUGGGCAACAACUGACGCUGAGGAGCGAAAGCGUGGGGAGCGAACAGGAUUAGAUACCCCA